CUCAGCUUCAUCCUCAAUUGAAUCAUGGAGGUCCUUUGUUUCAUUCGUUAGAUUCUCAUCAUUCUAGUAUCGGUUCUCAGGUGAAGUUCAUGGGUCCAGAAGGCUUGGUCUAUCAUGAUGCCCCACCAAAUCAUCAAUUAUCUGCAAAUAUGCUUCGUCCUCUCCAUCAUCCUAGCAGUGGACUAACUGGAUUUGAUUCUCCAAUUCAUCAUCCUAUGUUACAACAAAUGCAUAUGCCUGGAAACUUUCCUUCACCCCACUUGCAACGACGGAUUCCUGGUGUUGCACCGCCAGCACCUCAUUCAAAUAAUCAGAUGACUGGGUUACAGGAAAUGAAUCCAAUGCAUGGUUUUCAAUUGGGGCAUGGUCAACGGCAGCCUCAACCCAACUUUGCUGGUCUUGGAAUGCCUCCAGGUAAAGUAUUUAAUACAUGUCUUGUUUCUUUCUCAUCCUUGCCAAUUUCAACUUUGGAAAACCUGCCCGCCCAUUUCAUUCUUGGAAAUGCCUACAGUUAGACUUAGUGUUACAGAUUGUUUUAAGGCUUAAAGUGAUUUAAGAAGAAUGAUAAUUACCAUGCCAAAACCUUAUUGCAUGUAACUGCAAACUGUUUACUUCAUCCAGGACCCCCCAAUUCUGCUGGAAAAAUGAAAAGAAAAUUUCCGGCAAUCUGUUGUCGGUUGUCUUGUUUGUGAACUGCUGUUACCAUAAUGAUUACAUUUCAUGUUCUAUUUGCGAAUACCAUGUACAUUAUUAUUUGUUUUAUGUUUCAGGUCAUGACGUUGGCAGUGGGAGCCAUCAUCCAGAGGCAUUGCAGAGGCUUAUUGAGAUGGAGCUCAGGUCAAAGUCGAAGCAGCUGAGCCCUUUCGGUGCACCCAGCCAUGGUCAAGGCCAAGGGAUGUAUGGCCACGAGCUAGACAUGGGUUUUCAGUAUAGAUAAUGACAUUUGGUUGUAGUUUUGCCCUAUCCCUACUAGAUUGUUUCUCUCCGAGAAUUGAGGAUAGGUUUGAUGUUCUUAAUUCACGAGGGAUUAUUGUGGCUCACUGUAACUAAAAUGAUCAUUAUCAUACUUGCUAUUGGCUGUUGGUUGCAAUUUGCCCUUUUAUGCUUUGUGUAGUGUGUUUUUCUUUCCUUUAAGGGUUAAAUCACAUUUUAGGUUUGAACUCGGCAACUAUUUUCAUAUUGGGGCCUGAAUAUCUUUUUUGUUUCAAGUUAGGUCCUGAAUUUGAUAAUUGUUCUUACAUUGGAGUCUGAACUUUUUUUUAGUUCAAGUUAGACCUUGAACUUGGCAAAUGUUCUAACAUUGGGAUUUCAAAUUUUUAUUAUCCAAAUUUGUUUUUGAAAACUUUAAAGUUUAAGUCUCAACUUGGGAAUAAUUGUCAAGUUUAAGCUUCAAAAUGAGAAUAAUUAUUAAGUUCAAGGUUUAACUUGGACAAAAACAAAUUUAAAAGUUCAGAUAUCAAUAUGAGAAAAAGUAUCAAGUUCAGGUCUAAAAAAGUAAUUUAACUUUUCGGAUAUUAUUCUAACCGAAAAAUUCUUAACGAACUGAAAAAGAUUGAUCCAAACCUUACAAUUUAAAUCUUUAUUAUUCGCAUAUAGAACCUUCUAAUGUAAUUAUCCAGCUGAUCUCUUGCAUAUGAAUUAAGCUAAGACAUCCAAAAUUCUCCUGUAAUCAGAUCUUUGAUGAAACAGAUGAAACACGGCCAUGGAAUCAGGUUUUCUCAUAUGUCUAUUUGUGCAUGCAUUCUGGAUUCUUCUCUGCACUAUGGAUAUCUUAUCAUCAAAUACAAACAGCACCUGACCCACCUUAAAUUUUUGGUGCUUCUUCACUUCAGCCCGCUUUUUGUCCUUUUCUUUCUCGGCCUUGCAGUUCAGUUCCCUGAUUUGUUGCCCAGUAUCUGAGGUGAUAAGCUUUGGGUGCAUAGUUUUCUCAGCAUCCGCUAUGGGGUACAUUUGAAAUGAGAAAGAUCUUACGAAAGAACAUUAGAGUUAACCGAGUCGUAUCGAGGCUUACCUGUUCUGAAAGUCUGAUUAAAUCGCAUAUACAGAUUCGUUCCACAACACUAACAAUUAAAUUCGCAUAAGAGGAAGUAUAAAUUCAUUACAAAUAAAAGGACCAAGUAGCUAGUAUUUCACCAAGGAUAACCUCAGCUCGACAUCAUUGCUUAUAUUCUUCAAAACACAUUUGGCUACUACCAAAACAUAGAAAAAAAGCAGAAAUGAAUGUACUCACAUGUAAUUGCAGGAUCCUCGUGGUAUGAUCAACAAGCAGGGUAUCAGAGUAUUCUCUAAUCUCAGCCAACUUUUUCUGCAAAGGAAUUUUCAGUUGAAUCCCUCUUUCUCCUUCAUGCAUAACCUUUCUAGAUGUUUUUAUUUGGAACUCGGCUCAACCAACAGCGGUGAUGUUAGAGAAGGUACCUGAUACCCUUUUCCUUUUACUGUAGGGAAGGGAACCCCAACCCCAUUAAAACGUUUGAAAAAUGAUGUGCAAAAUGGUUAAUCCCAAAGUUGGAUCAAAUAGCCUCUAAUCCCUGUUUUAGUAGACCAUUGAUGAUCACGCUCAGGAGCCAGGAUCUCAUAAAACAACGAGAGGAAUUGUUUAAGCUUGCCAGAAGUAGUGAUAAUAACGUAUAAUAUCAUUUAAGCCUCUAAAAAAUGAUAAUAUUGUAAAGGUUAAAAAUACACUCCCUGACUCUUUGUAAAUUUAGAAUUUAGUUUCUAUACUUUUUACUUUUAAAAAUUUAGUCCUUUUACUUUUCAAAAUUCAAAAUUCAAGUCUAACUGUUAACAAAGUUAAAAUUAGUUUGUUAGAUUCAAAUUUAUUACAAGAUUAUUUUUUCAGUUAUAUUAUAUGGUUAUAAAAUUGAUUUUUUUUAAAAAUUUUAAAAUAUCAUUUUAAUAAAUUAAAAAAAUUAACAAUAUUAAUCAUUAAAUCUGAAUUUUAAAAUUUUAAAAUUUGAAAAAUAAAAAAUUAAAUUCUAAAUUUUUGGGAUUUAUUGCAUAUUUUAAUCUGAAAAUUAGAGGAGGCAUUUGUUAAUUUUUUUACGCUUGUAAAUUUCAAGUUUUAGGUUUAUGCUCCCACGCGCGCGCAAGAGGAGUAAAGGAGCCAAUGAAAUUGGAGCGUGUAGAAAACGAGACGCAACUUCCACGUUAAUUAUUGUUUCUUUGUUUGUUUAGCGUAGGGAAAGGUAGAGAACGUCGUUCUGAAAGAGUAAAUUGGCGCAGGCAGAGAGAGAGAGGCAUUGCCAGUCGCUGUCUCUCUCAAAGGUCAAAACUUUCUCUCUCCAACCCCAAAAACACGCUACUUGCUUUCUCUCUCUAUCCCAUCGAUUCAAUUUCUUUGAAAAAAGAAGAAGCUUACAGAUCGAAACCUUAACUUUCGAUCUCUCUCACACAAUUCCUUCGAUCGAGGUAGCUCGUUUUCAUUUUGAUUUCUCUAUGUCAAGAACAAAACCCUAGUUUUCUCUCUGAAUUUCCGCAGUUUAGCACAAAACCCUAGAAAUUCUCAUUUCGAUUUAAUUAGUGCUUUUAUUUGAUUCAAUACUCGGAAUGAUAUAUAUGUUUAGGAGAUGCUGAUUUUUCUUGUAAAUAUCCUUUUGGUUCAGAUCGGGAAAAAAUGAUCGUGUUUGGUUUAGGGGAUUCCCGGAUAGAAGUUCUGGUGGCCGCAAUAGUGUAAUAUUUUGUUAGUCAUUUGGGUUUUAUUGUAGAUUUUCUCUUGAUAAAAGAAUGGAGUAGCCUCAUAUCAGCUGUAUCUUCAUUUAGGGAUCUUUGGAUAUGGAGUUAAUUGAUGAUGGCGACGCCUUAAUCUGGGAGAAUUUGGGAACUCUGAUUGGAAUAAGAUAUAUGGGAAUUGGCUUAGCAGAUUCAAAAAUUUGAGUUCUUGAGUAGUGAAUUUUGCGGGGAGCUAAAUAGAGUUAAAACUGUUAAUGAGUAUUUAGUAUAUUCUCAUCUUUGAAUUUCUGUAGAAAUGAGCUUAGAAAAUGAAGGACAGCAUUCCUUAGAUCAGCCUGCGGAUACCAGUAAGGAACCUCAAAAGUAAUCACUUCGUUCGGAUGAAUAAUUAAUUUUUCAAUGUUUUGCAUAUGUUUUUUGUUGAGUGACGCUGAUGCCAAUUUGUUUUUAAUGACUCAGGAAACCAAGAAUUUCAUACACCAGAGACUUUUUAUUGUCAUUGAGUGAACUGGAUGUUUGCAAAAAUUUACCCCUGGGUUUUGAUCAUUCAAUUUUGAGGUGAGAUUCUUUUUAUGUUCUUGGAGUGUGUCUUAAUAAAAUUGUGAAGAAGGCAAACUUAGAUCUUUUUGGUAUUCAUUGGUAUGUGGUUGGAGCAGUGACUUUGAGGAUACAUCACAAGAUCGGCAAAGAAUUCCUGGCACCUUGUCAGGUUAUAGACGUAAUGAAUAUAGUUCUUCACCACCUACAAGAGGAGACUAUUCCCGGGGCAUUCAUGGACGAUGGGACAGCCGUUCUAGUGGAAAGAAUGAUAGAGACAGUGAUACCCAAUCUGAUUGGGACUCUGGUAAUGUUUAUAGUUCUAUUGUUCUAUUCAUGGUAUGAUUUAUGUUUACUGUUUAUACGGACUAGUAUGUAUUGUGCUUUUUGUUAACACGUGUGGUAAUUCACUUCAUUGCCUCAACCUCCAUGAUGCUUGCUAAAGCCAUUCUUGUAGUUGGGGCUUUUUUCCACUUCAUUUAUGUGCUGCAUACAGCAUCUAAAAAUUGUAUUAUGUUGGAAAUUGAAUGAUUCUAAUGCUACAUAGAUCAUGGAAGACGCCAUGGUAAUCAAUCCCGGCGGUCUUGGCAAGGUCCUGAUCAUGAUGGGCUUUUGGGGAGUGGUUCUUUUCCUAGACCGUCUGGAUAUAUGGCAGGAGCUUCUGGUCCAAAGGUUCGAGCUAAUGACCAAUACCAUCUUAAUAGAAGUAAUGAGCCAUACCAUCCCCCUCGCCCUUAUAAGGUACUCAUUUGCUUUUAGUUGUCAUUUGCAGACAAUAUUGGGACUAGCAUCAUGAUAGCUGUUUUAUCCAUUUUAGCAUAAAAGUAUUAAUUAUUCUGCUUAAAUUAUAUCUGUCUGUAAUGGUAAGAUGAUCCAGUAGCAAUUGAAAUGCUGCUUUAAUAGGUGUUAUUCUUUUCAGGCUGUACCUCAUUCAAGGAGGGAAACUAACGACUCAUAUAAUGAUGAAACAUUUGGUUCCACUGAGUUCACUAGUGAAGAUAGAGCAGAAGAGGAAAGAAAGAGAAGAGGUAGGUUCUCUUUUGUAGAUAACUCUGCUGAUUGUAGUUUAUCUUGUAUUUGUUCUAUCUUCUUUUCUACUCUGGCUUUCUUUUCGAAUAAUAAAAACUGAAGCAUGAUCACUUUCCCUCUUAGCUUCCUUUGAGUCAUGGAGGAAGGAACAACAUAAAGCUUUCCUGGAGAAGAAGAUUAAUCCUGAACGGCGUAAAGAUGACUUCGAUAUUUCUGAAUUGCUAAAGGACUUCAAAGGUGAUAAAGGAGUUGCAAAUAGAAACAAGGAAUCGGAUGAACCUAUUCCAGCAUCAAAUAUUUUUUCUGACAAAACUUCUCUUCACUCACAAACUCCUGCAUCUAGGCCACUUGUACCACCUGGUUUUACGAGCACAGUUUUGGAAAGGAAUGUUGGAACCAAAAGUUCAAUGCACUCCCAUUCUUCACAGGUAGGUACUAAAAUAGUUUUCAGGAUUUAAAACACUCAUCAUGUUCUCUGUUGUACCUUCUGGUAUCUAAUUUUGCCAUCAUAAGUUUGUAAGUUCUCAUCCUUUUUGCCAUUGUGAUCUUAAAUUGCAACCAACUGUUUACUCUUCAUGUACCUGUUACUUCUAAGUUUUUUGUUCUCUAGCAACGUUUCCAUUAAAAUUGUGUUGCUUCCCAAUUUAUAAAGGUAAUUUUGAAUUUCCCAUUAUCUUUUUUGGAAUAGGGAGGAGCAAGUUUAUCAUUUAAAAUUAGUGUGUGAAAAUGGCCAUCUGUUAUUGAAGAUGAUAUAUAUAUUUUAAGUUAUUUAAUGGAAGUACAGAUUUGACAGAGGUUACAUUGCACUGUGACGUGUGUUUUUUCCUGUUCCUUGUUUUAGCCAAUCUGUUAUUUUUCUGUUUGGAGAGCUGAAAUAUGGCGUAUUGUUACCUGGUGGUUGUUGCUUGCAUGUAGUUUUCAUUCAGUGGUUGUACUUUUCUUAUGUUGUAACUUAGAGCUGAUGCCAUUCAGACAAAGCAUGUUUCAAUUAUAUUGACAGAUGUUGCUUCUCAUAUUUCACAUACACUAUUUGCCGUUACACUUUAUUAGGUAUUGAUCUUCUGGUAUGCUUCUAUAGGUUGGGAGUUCUGAAAUUGAUGGCAACCCUUCAGAGUCCAAAGGCAGCCUUCUUUUAAAUGGGAUUUCUGAUGAUCUUUUGGGCAAACAUUCUAAACAGUGUGAAGAGGAAACUUUGAGUGAGCAGAGGCUUGAAAGUAAAAACAUUCACCUUUUAGACAAUAUUAGGAGUGUGAAGGCUCCAAAUACCCCAUCAGCUUUAGAUAAAUUUAAUGACACAAUAAGCAAAGAUUCCCAAAUAUACAAGAGUUCUAGUCUUUCAGAAGCCUUUAUAGCCCCUGGGAAUGGUGAAGUUACUGAACUUGAUUCCAAGAAGCUGGUUGCUGAUAAAAUUGUGACUGAAACCAACCAGGAUGGUUCAAUUUCAAUUCUAGACAAGCUUUUUGGAACUGCUGUAACAUCAAAUGGAGGUGGCUCCACUAAUAUGACUGCGGUAUUAUUUUGGUUUCAAGACAUUGGUUUCAAAUUCAAAAACAUAUGUCAAAUACAUAUGCUCCGUAUGACUUAGAUGUUCAUUUUUAAUUCCCCUGCUUAAAGAAAUUAAAACCUGGUUGAUCAAUAAACCAUACAUCUUAUCUACGUAUAGUUUAUUUAAGUAUUUUAUAUUUAUCCUUUUACUCCCUGUUUUCCUUGAAGAAAUGAUUAACAGCCUUUAAUAUCUCUUUUUCUUCAGCCUAAUGACGGCAACACAGAUGAGACAUGGGCCUCUGACACUUCGCAUUCUUCUAAGUUUGCUCAUUUGUUUCUUGAUGAAGGUUUGUUGGCUCUUGUUCAUCAAGUAAUCUGGCUUUAAGUGAAUCUGCUUCGUUCUCAAGUAAGAAGUAUGAUCUAAUAUUCUUUUCAUCUUGUCAUCGCAGAGAAGAAGCCUACAGAUGAUUUCUCCCUUGGCAGGCCAAAAGACUUGCUCUCUUUUAUUCAGGGUGGUGAAAAAGGUGGUUCCCAUGAUAGGAUAGCUAAUAAGCAUGUAGAGGCAAACUUUCCAUUUGAAAACUCUGAACUUGUGGACAGGCAUGCUAUAUCAAAUUUGAUGUCUCCUAGAAUUGAAAACUCUGAGCAAUCAUGGAAUAUUAAGGAUGUCAAUAAAUCAGCAGCAGUUCCAACUGUCCUCACAUGCGAGGAUCUUGAAAAGUCAAUUCUGUCCGAAGGCACUGAAAAUGAUCCGAGGUUGCCUCCUGCUAUUGAAGGACGGAAAAUUACUGAUGCCAAAUGUGAAAAGCAAGAAGUUAUUGACAAUCAUGCAUCCCAGCACCUUCUUUCAUUGUUACAAAAUAAAACAAGUGUGAAAAACAUAGUAUCACCGUCCAAUCUCGACGUCGGGUCUUCAGAAAGGGUACACACUGUUGAAACAGCAAGGGUUGAUAUGGCACCUUGUGAUUCAAUAGACACAAAUGCAGAAAAUGCUUCCAGUUCAGGGAAGAGUCUAACUCUUGAAACACUUUUUGGAAGUGCUUUCAUGAAAGAACUACAAUCAGUUGGAGCACCAGCUUCUGUUCAAAGGGGCUCAAUGGAUUCUGCAAGAGUCGAUGUAUCCAAAUCUAACUGGCUUCCCCCACAUGUUACAGAUGACAGUCUUCUUCCUUCUGCAGGUCACAUUGUGUCAAACAGGACUAAUUUUGAAAAAAAUAUUUUACCUUUUACCCAGAGAGAGCGAAUGAAAUCUGAUGGCAUUGAAGAGCAUUUGUUAGGCUAUAAUGAUGCUCCAUCCGCAGCGGAUUCAUCACAUAUACGAGCUGGAUUAGGAUCUAAACUUGGUGGUUUUGAUGGAUCUGCUGAAAUUGGACUUCCUGAAGAGGAUAGUUUGCUUGGUGUCAGUAAUCCUGUGAAACUCCAGAAUUUCAUGGCUGGUAGUGCAAAAUCAGAGUUACUGCCCUCCCAAGAGACACCGAUUGAUGUUGCUGAGAAGCUAGCAGCUUUAAAGGCCAUCUUCCAGGAUGAAAGACCUCUGGUAGGAGGGAAAGAAGGUCCCAUUUUUCUUCCUGGUUCCUAUGACAUGAGGGAUCCAGAUAUUCCAUCACAAAAUGUCCAACCAUCUUCUCCACUGCUUCGUCCUCAAUUGAAUCAUGGAGGUUCUAUGUUUCAUCCAUUAGAUUCUCAUCAUUCUAACAUCGGUUCUCAGGUGAAGUUCAUGGCUCCAGAAGGCAUGAUCCAUCAUGAUGCACCACCAAAUCAUCAUUUACCUGCAAAUAUGCUUCAUCCUCUCCAUCAUCCUAGCAGUGGACUAACUGGAUUUGAUCCUCCAAUUCAUCAUCCUAUGUUACAACAAAUG
rnacentral:lncRNA from 1 species